CAGACAGCCACAAAUAUCCCAUUAAGAAUUUUUUAAAAUUUAACAUAUGCCUAAGAACCAGUUGGUUUAUUCAAUUAAUUUUGUAUUCAUUUUCUUGUAGCUAUCAUUUUAGUUUUUAUUAAUGUUUGUAAUGUUUACGAUUAUGUUUUUAUUUCUUAUGAGCAUAACAAGAAAUGAAAAUAAAUGUUCUACCAAAUUUUAUUCUUUUCUUACCUGUUACUAGUGACUACCCAAGGGGUUUGCCAAUUUCUUUCAGACUUUAGAAGAGGUUUGCAAGGAGAAAAAGGCUGGGAACCACUAGUAUAUAGUAAUUUCAGCCCUCAAGAAUUUUAUCUCCACUGUAUUCAAGUUUUUGUAAUGAUCAUUACCAUAAUAUGAUCUCACUUCCGUAUGUCAAUGUUUGAAUCAGCACAGAUAUUAUACAUCCAUCCUAACACUCUUGACAGAUUUUCAUUCUUAACAUAUCUUCCAAAUACUCACAACUUUAAAUCUAGCAUUUUUCUCUCCUCAUAAUAUUGUCAUUAAUGUGACUUUCAAACAUUUCAUAAAUACCCAGUCAUUCAUGAGCUCCAAAUUUGACCCCAUUCAAUUUGAACUCAAAUAUUAUUUAUGAUCCUUCUUAAAAUGCAAAAACUUUUUUCUCACGUUUAUUCUCAUUUGCUUCUUUCAUAUUCCUCAUUCAAUUGCAGAAUAAGCCUUAUCAGAUUUUAUUAUCUUUAGAGCAGAACAGUUACAUGAACAGAUAGCAUGCUCUUCUGUUUUGAAUUACAGUUGAACUCACAUCAGCUUAUCUUGCAUAUCCAUAUAUAUUGUAAACAGCUAUGGAGGCAUAUGCUCUUGCCUCAAUAGCAAACUAUUCUGGCAACCCUCUUCUGUUUUUCACAGCUGUCAAUAUAUGUUACUUUUACAGCUUCAAAUGAAACCAUAUUGCCUCCAAUAUUUCCUGCUUGCUUCUGUUCAUAUAUAUAUCAAGAUCCACAUAUAUAUGGACUAUCUUGUGUGUAUUCUAUACUUGUGCAUAUUCUUCUAUACAAUCAUUUGCAUUGAGAAAAUUGCUUCCAUACACUUUUCCAUUCCUGAAGCUCAAAUUGUACAAUCCUAUACAUUCUCAGUCAACUUUUCACUCAAUCACAUUCUUACUAAAUACCUUCUUUGACUUUCAACAGACUUCUAUAAUUGUGUUUGAAUGUCACAUUCUUCUCUUUGUAUAUGGGUCUUAGUCCACUUGCUUAAAAUGACACCAUUUAAUCAGCAUAGUUUAUUUACUCCACUACCAUAUUCAGUGUGUAACAGAUUUUUUACUAUAAUUCAACAUUUCAACCAAAUCUCCAUUCAUGUUGGAGUUAUCACAUUUUUAACACUGGCUGCCAGUAAUUAAUAGUAAUUAAGUUUAAUAUGCA
rnacentral:lncRNA from 1 species